rnacentral:ncRNA from 1 species
UUUGGCAAACUAAUUGAAAAAUUAGGACGCAAAGCCUCCGGUCUAAGGUUGUAAAGGGAUGUUGAAACUAAGAUAGCGGGGUUGCCUAA